GCAGCACGUUGCUUGGUGGAUGCUUCAUUUCCUAAGUACGGCCUGCUGUGAAAGACAGAGAGCGUGCAUGAGCAGACCUGGCAUAAUCUGCGAGGAUAGUGUCUGUGAGGAAAUCAAGUGGAAGUCUCUGGAGCUUUCCUGAAUCUACUCCUAGAUCACCUGGGGUGUUCUCCUCCUGGUUAGGAGCCUCUCUCAUCCACUCCCUGGCUAUUACAUGGAGCUCAUGGAUUGCAACCUUCAAUACGAUCCCAGAAUAAUAUAAGAUCCACAAAGAAUCAUUUAUCUGAAAUGACGCGUCUGAUGCUCUUAUGCACUCACACACAGCUGACCUGGCCCCUCUAAUCCUGAAGGAACAGCUGAUCCAUCAAGCCUCCUGCAUCCAACAUGAGGUGAGGAGGAAUGCUGCACCUGUUUCCAUUCUGGUGUUUCUCAGAUGA
rnacentral:lncRNA from 1 species